AACGCACAUUGCGCCCCUUGGUAUUCCGAGGGGUAUGCCUGUUCGAGCGUCAUUACAACCCUCAAGCACUGCUUGGUAUUGGGCUCCGCUGGUUUCAGCGGGCCUUAAAAUCAGUGGCAGCGCCGUCUGAGCUCUGAGCGUAGUAAAUAUCCUCGCUAUAGAGACCAGGUGGUUCUUGUCAUCAACCCCCAACUUUCUAAGUUUGACCUCGGAUCAGGUAGGGAUACCCGCUGAACUUAA
rnacentral:misc_RNA from 1 species